AUUACUAGAAUGACAUCAAGAAGAUACUCUUCAGAUAUUAUACAAUCUAAAAUUUGAUUUUUGACUUCAACGCAUGGAAAAACCAAACCCUAGGGCAUACUAGCAACACUUGCUAAAAAUCUCACCACCCUUCUUGCAACUUUUGCCACUCAAUUUUUUCUUUUUUUCUUCAAAAUUUUUUCAAAAUUUUUUCAAUGUUUACAAGAUCCCUCCUCUCUAGUUUUAACCAAAAAUUAUAACAAUCAGCCAUUUGGAGCAUCCCCUAUAAAUAGGGGACCAAGGGAUGUCACAUAGGAUGAAGGGGCACCAACCUUUGGUACUUCAACUUCCCA
rnacentral:lncRNA from 1 species